AGUGUGGGUGACGCUGUUGUGAGACUUCGGUCUCUCGACAGUAAGUCACCCCCUUCCAGUAUCCAGUAGUGGGUAUUCAGUUACUUACUAUUGUGUGUUGGUCGUUUACUGUGAGAAAAUUAGAGUGUUCAAAGCAGGCGUUUGCUUGAAUAGAUUAGCAUGGAAUAAUAAUUGAAGGCUUUCGUGUUCGAUUUGAUUGGUUUGUUCAUGGAAGCAAGGUUAAAAGGAACAGUUGGGGGUAUUCAUAUUCACUAGUUAGAGGUGAAAUUCUCGGAUUUAUGGAAGAAUGAACAAGUGCGAAAGCAUUUACCAAGGAUGUUUUCAUUAAUCAAGAACGAAAGCUAGGGGAUCGAAGAGGAUUAGAUACCCUCGUAGUCUUAGCUAUAAACGAUACCGACUAGGGGUUAGUAGAGGUCAAAGUGUCUUUAUUAGUACCUUAUGAGAAAUCAAAGUCUUUGGGUUCCGGGGGGAGUAUGGUCGCAAGGCUGAAACUUAAAGGAAUUGACGGAAGGGCACCACCAGGAGUGGAGCCUGCGGCUUAAUUUGACUCAACACGGGGAAACUUACCAGUCUAGACUA
rnacentral:rRNA from 1 species